rnacentral:lncRNA from 1 species
CUGAACGACGACAUAUUAACAAAAAUCGACAUAGAAAAUUAUGAUUUGAAACUUUUAAAAUAAACACAGCCGAAUUUUUUCGCCUCUUCCAAGUCAGGAUCCUCUGGCUUUUGUUAGUCUGAUUUUAUGAUUUUUAACUUUUAGUUUCUUUUAUAUGUUUAGGAGUUUAGUAUAACGUCCAUUAUCACUAAAAUAGUACACAAUUUUGUUUAGGGGCUAGCUGAAUGACGAC